GAUGAACGCUGGCGGCGUGCCUAAUACAUGCAAGUCGAGCGAACAGACCAGGAGCUUGCUCCUCCGACGUUAUCGCCGGACGGGUGCUUCACACGUGGUUAACCUACCUCUCCGACUGGGAUAACUUCGCGAAACCGGAUCUACUACCGGAUAAUAUAUCGCAUCUCAUGGUUCACUCGUUAAAUACGCUUUUUCUUUCACUUAUAGCUUACUCCGCCCCGCAUUCGUUAGUUGGUAAGGUGACUGCUUACCAAAGCAACGAUGCGUAGCCGCCCUCAGCGGGAGGUUGGCCAGACGGGAACAGAGACAGGGCCCACACACUUACGGGAGGAAGCAGUAGGGAAUCUUCCGCAAUGGAGGAAUGCGUGACGGUGCAAAGCGGGGGGAGGGAUGAAGGUCUUAUGAUGGGAAAACUCUGUAAGUAGGGAAGAAGAAAUGUGUAAUUAACUAGGCUCGUAAUGACGGUACCUAAUCAGAAAGCCACGGCUAACUACGUG
rnacentral:rRNA from 1 species